rnacentral:rRNA from 1 species
UACGAAGGGGGCUAGCGUUGUUCGGAAUUACUGGGCGUAAAGCGCGUGUAGGCGGGCCGUUAAGUCGGGGGUGAAAGCCCGGGGCUCAACUCUGGAACUGCCUUCGAUACUGGCGGUCUCGAGCCAGAGAGAGGUGAGUGGAAUUCCGAGUGUAGAGGUGAAAUUCGUAGAUAUUAGGAAGAACACCAGUGGCGAAGGCGGCUCACUGGCUCGGUGCUGACGCUGAGGCGCGAAAGCGUGGGGAGCAAACAGG